rnacentral:sRNA from 1 species
UAAUGUUGUUGUUCGUUUUAUUGCCGCAGACGCUGCCGCUGCCGCAACCGCAGGUUUAUUUGUUCGUUUUGACGCCGCUACGAUAAUUUUCAUGUAAUUCUUUUAUUUACUUUUCUAGUUAUAUUCUGAAUAUA